AAACGUUCUUGUUCUUACAUGGCCUCUUAGUACUUUAGUUAAUAACUCCUUUUAUUUGAAAGUUGCAGGAAGCUCAUAGGGAGGAGGCAAGGCUGUUGGGAGUAGGAGAUGCUGCAGGCAGCAUUGACUUACCUUCUUGGUGAGGGAAGCUUGGCUGCCACUUAGCUGUCUCGGGACGUGGGCUCGCUGCCCUGGGCCGGCGGCUGAUCGGUAAGGGAGGGCCGCAGUGGAGUGUGACGUGGCACUACUAGAAAAUUGGCUUGUAAUGACACUUAAAAUUGUCACUAGAAAAUUACUGUGCUGACACUUCAUCUAUAAUGGCACUUAUGCAAGUGCAGCACCGGGUACCUGUAGUAAGAGGUAGUGUGUAGAUAGUACAUCUAUGAUGGCACUUUUUAUGUUGAAGUGCAGUAACAGUAUAUUAUAAAGUGCAGUGAAAAGCUAGUAUGUAGAUAGUACAUCUAUGCUGGCACUUUUUAUAAAGUGUGAUAAAAAAAGUGUAGUGAGAAGCAAUUUUUCUAGUAGUGUGGGCUCGAAAAAAGGAGGACCAAAGUGUAGUAAAAAGGAUUUUUGUUUCCUUA